CUCAUUAAGGUGGGUGGAAUAGUAUAACAAUAUGCUGAAUGUUGUUAUAGUAUCCCACCUACCCUGAUGUG
rfam:Camelus ferus unplaced genomic scaffold scaffold204, whole genome shotgun sequence.